GAGCGGCCGAUGUCUGAUUAGUUAGUUGGUGGGGUAAAGGCCUACCAAGGCAACGAUCAGUAGCUGGUCUGAGAGGACGAUCAGCCACACUGGGACUGAGGCACGGCCCAGACUCCUACGGGAGGCAGCAGUGGGGAAUUUUGGACAAUGGGCGAAAGCCUGAUCCAGCCAUGCCGCGUGAAUGAAGAAGGCCUUCGGGUUGUAAAGUUCUUUUAGUUGGAAAGAAAAAAUUAUGAUGAAUAAUCAUAAUUCAUGACGGUACCGACAGAAAAAGCACCGGCUAACUACGUGCCAGCAGCCGCGGUAAUACGUAGGGUGCAAGCGUUAAUCGGAAUUACUGGGCGUAAAGGGUGUGCAGGCGGCCUUGUAAGUCAGAUGUGAAAGCCCCGGGCUUAACCUGGGAAUUGCGUUUGAAACUACAAGGC
rnacentral:rRNA from 1 species